rnacentral:rRNA from 1 species
AGGAUGAACGCUAGCGGCAGGCUUAAUACAUGCAAGUCGUGGGGCAGCAUGGUGUAGCAAUACACUGAUGGCGACCGGCAAACGGGUGCGGAACACGUACGCAACCUUCCUUUAACUGGAGAAUAGCCCGGGGAAACCCGGAUUAAUACUCCGUAACAUUAUGAAGUGGCAUCACUUUAUAAUUAUAGCUCCGGCGGUUGAAGAUGGGCGUGCGUCUGAUUAGGUAGUUGGCGGGGUAACGGCCCACCAAGCCUACGAUCAGUAACUGGUGUGAGAGCACGACCAGUCACACGGGCACUGAGACACGGGCCCGACUCCUACGGGAGGCAGCAGUAAGGAAUAUUGGUCAAUGGACGCAAGUCUGAACCAGCCAUGCCGCGUGGAGGAUGAAGGUCCUCUGGAUUGUAAACUUCUUUUAUUUGGGAAGAAACCCCCGAUUUCUAUUGGGGUUGACGGUACCAGAUGAAUAAGCACCGGCUAACUCCGUGCCAGCAGCCGCGGUAA